CCCUCUAGUGGCAGAGUUCAGCAGUGCCUGCAAACAAAGGAGAAAUCUUGGGGGUCCACGUCUCCAGGACGACAAAGCAAAGCAGAAACGCUUCCCUGUGGACUGAAUAGCAGAAACUCGAAUGCUCACAGCAGCGGUCUUCCUACUGGCCAACAAUUUUAAGCCAUCCAGUACCUGUGGGUAGAGCAGACUGGUAUCCCCACAGAUGGACCACUGUAAGCCACGUGCAAUGUGUGCUUCUCAGAGGCUUCAGCGAAAGCGGCCAAGUACAGGAGUGUAGGCAGAGGUCAGACUGCCUGCCCGUGUUAGUAGGUAAGUACAUGGGGAGUGUGGAGUCCCAGUAGCAGCAACUGCCUGAUCCUGAGGGCACCUUCAUACAUGUGAAUCCCAGUGGUGGGACUGGCAUGUUGUUUCGUAUCCACUUCAGCUGUGUGCCACAUGACCUCCCAUCAUAAUGAAACAGAAUUAUGAGCACGGCGGAGGGACUGAGUCAGUGAGAGGUGGGGCAGAGGGCGAGGGACUUCUCUCAAAGCUAGGUGCAGACGAUGAGGUACUAAGGAACGAAGAUAAAGUUGGAUGAGGCAGGGGGCUUAGGGGUACCGAGGCCAAGUCUAAACCAACAAAAGGGAGGGCUCUGCGCACUGGUGUGGAUGGGAAUGGUCCCCGGGGUGGAGAUGUGUAGAGGGACUAAGACCUUGUUGGAGAUGCGUCAUUCCCAGUGUGCCCUGCCUUCUGCUCGUGGAAGGUGUGAGCUUAGCUGCUGCUCCCACUACCUGUUGCUAUGGCCUCCCUUCCACCGGCAUGGUCCCUAGCCCUCUGGAACUGUAAGGCCGGUUAAUCUCCUAUAAACUGCCUUAGUGUCUUAUCAGAGACUAGCAGGCAGCCUCACAUAGACGACCCUGGCAACAAGGUAUCACGGAGGAAGUGGGGAGCUGCUGUCGGAGGUGAAUAUGUCCUGACAGCUGAAACUGUGGCAUGAACUGCCCAGAUCAGAGUGGCCUAAAAUGAGAUAAAAGGCACAAAUCCCCUUAAAUAGACGUCCCAACAAGAAUGGGGCUCCACUCACUCCACUAUGGAAGAAACUUCUGGAACAACCUCAAGUGUAGGUAUGUGGACUAGCCUACUAGCUAGCAGAGCCCUAUAAAACCACCACGAUGCUGUGCACCCAGCCUGCGGGCAUUAAGGCACCUGAAAGUAGGCCCGAUUACAAGCUCAGAAGCUUCGCUGAAGGGAACAGGGCCCAGGAAAGCCAGAGGGUAGGCAGGAGCCUGCUGCCAGUCAGCUCCGGCCCAGCUAGGACAUGGGAGGUCCACAACCUCCUCUAACCCACACCUGAGUGCUUCCAUUGGCCACACUCACACAGGUAAGUGGGCCCAGGGACAUCCACAGGUGGAAUGGUGUCACGGUCAGGUGGAAACAAUCAUGAACACUAUGGAGACAGGACUGGGGUGGGCCCAUGCGCUGCUCACUGCUGUUUGGCUGAUCUCAGGAAUGACCCCAUCAUGAAAGCACCAUCUCUUCUUGGACACGAGGACUCCCCCUCACUGACUGUGUGGCUGUUUCGGGGCCUAUGAGCCAGACAGCAGGGACCUCAGCUGCCUCUCGGCAACACAUGCAUUUGGUCUCUCAUGGUUCCUUGCAUUGUUCCACAGCCCAUGGUAGCCCUGUGAGGACCAGCCCUGCAGGCAUGGGCUGGACAUGGCAUGUGGGUAGCACAGGACCAAAGGGCUGAGUGAACGCAGCACUGUCUCAGCAAAGCUGUAUUCCUGGGCCCUCAGGCUUGAGCUUACAUGGUCAUGAAACAUUAUCUCCAGCUAUUUAGAACUUGGGUCACAGGACCCAGCCAGGUUUGCAUAUGCAUUUAUCCAGGGACCAAACAUCUCCGUGUUCACAACGCAUAACACUAGCUCCUAUAGCAGUGAGCGUCCUGCUCUGUGCACACCACCGACUUAACAAUAUAGCUGCUAGUGGCCACAAGGCUUCCUACCAUGUGUGCAUGUCCACGUGGAGGCCAGAGGAUGACACUGCUGUCUUCCUAUUGCUAAAAGGUCACUGCUUAGACCAGGCUGCCACCCCAGCAUCAGGGUUACAGGGUGCUAGUUCUGCCCUGCCUUUGUUCUGUGGGGGAGGGGGGGCCUUGAACUUGGGUCUUCUCUCUCCGUAGCUGCUUACUCGCCAAGCAUCUCUCCUGCCCGGGAUGGUUUCCCUGCAGCUGGUCUGGGACACAGCAUGGGUGGGCAGAGCUAGCUGACACCUCUAGCCACCAAAAGCCGUGUCAUCUGAGCAGCAUGCCCACAGCCAUUGUCUUAGGACCAGCUUUGGAGGCCGCUGAACAUUCCAGAAAGCUAUGCAAAGCUGUCUUUAUUGAUGCUGUGUAUUCUCUUCACUCACUUCUGUUCUGCAGCGCAUGCAGAGGUCAAAGCAGCAGACCCAUGAGGUCACCAGUCAUUCCCUGUAAACAAGGCUGGCCCGGCAAGGCCACACCCUCACAGCCCUGAAGCCUGCUUGGUCUGCUCAGCCCCAGACUGAGGCUACAGAGAAACAGUACCAUCUGCCUCACAACAGCAAGCAGCUACGUGAGUGAUUCAGGGCUCCAACCCCAAGGGAGCGAAGGCACCCUGUGAUGGCAGGUCCUGCCUACUCCAGACCUCCCUAGAGAUCCCCAGGGCACCACUCUAGGCACUGACAGUCG